GGAAGGGUGCCAGAGCGGUCAAAUGGAAUGGUUUGGAGAACCAUGCUCCUCACGGGGUCCGUGGGUUCGAAUCCCACCCCUUCCG
rnacentral:tRNA from 1 species